rnacentral:rRNA from 1 species
GACUCGCCGAAUGAGUUUCUGACCUAUCAACUCGAGACGGCGGGGUAGAGGCCCGCCGCGGUAACGACGGGUAACGGGGAAUCAGGGUUCGAUUCCGGAGAGGGAGCCCGAGAAACGGCUACCACUUCCAAGGAAGGCAGCAGGCGCGCAACUUACCCUAAUCUCGAUUCGAGGAGGUAGUGACAAGAAAUACCGAUGCGGGACCCCUACGGGUGCCGCGUUCGGAAUGAGUACGAUUCGAACCACCUAACGAGGAACGAUCGGAGGGCAAGUCUGGUGCCAGCAGCCGCGGUAAUUCCAGCUCCAAUAGCGUACGUUAAAGUUGCUGCAGUUAAAAAGCUCGUAGUUGAACGUUCGGGUUCCGCGGGACGGGGCCGCCCCGCGAGGGACGGCGCCGCCCCGGGGCUCGUGAUAUCUCAUCUCGCCGCCCGUCGCGAGGCGGACGGAGGGGAUGGAUGAGGUUACCUGGAAAAAAUCGGGGCGAUCUAGGCGGGCGAACCGUCGCCAACGAACGAUCGGACAUGGGAUAACGGAAGAGGGCGUCGGCUCGACUUCGUCGGUUCCUCGGGCCGAGGCACGUACGGU